rnacentral:rRNA from 1 species
GACGUAGGGCGCGAGCGUUGUCCGGAUUUAUUGGGCGUAAAGAGCUCGUAGGCGGCUCGUUGCGUCGGCUGUGAAAACCCGCAGCUCAACUGUGGGCUUGCAGCUGAUACGGGCGGGCUGGAGUUCGGUAGGGGAGACUGGAAUUCCUGGUGUAGCGGUGAAAUGCGCAGAUAUCAGGAGGAACACCGGUGGCGAAGGCGGGUCUCUGGGCCGAUACUGACGCUGAGGAGCGAAAGCGUGGGGGAGCGAACAGG